GUUUGUGUGGAUUGAGGACAUGCUCUGCACUGGAAUAUAGAUCUCAUCCAUGGGCCUACCCUCCUGGAACUCUUGGAGCAGCAUUUCCACUCAUAUAUGGAAUAAACCAUGAAUGGUCAGGAAUAUGUGGGAAGUAAAAUGUGCCAAGGCGAGAAGAGAAGGGAGUAUUUGAGAAAUGCACGGAGGAGGAAUUCCAGAAUUGUUUCAGAAAGUGCCAAGGACAAUGGGAUAAGUGUGUUCAAUUGUGUGACAAUCUUUGCAGCGGGGCAGAAAGACUCAUCAUUUCGAGCACUGCUUUAAGCAUCUGCCACAGUCACCAGGCCUCAGAGGCACGGCAUACUGGUGGUGACAGAAACAGUACCGAUUGUCCCCUGCCUGCACUCUGCACCUGGGUUCUGCUGGAAAGAACACAAUGGAGAACAUAUUCCAGACUGCCGAGCUUGCCGCUAAACUCUGACAACCCAGACAUGAGAACAGAUAAGAAAAAAACAGAGGUCAGAGGCAUCAUUCAAGGAUAAAGAUAUUAGCAAGCGUCCUUCCAGCUGGAACAUUUUUCAUCUCCUCUUCAAAGAGUAAUCUCAGGGCAGCCACAGCCAUGGAAACAGAGUAUGGCAGGUGUCGCUGGGCUCUGCAUUAGAGGCCCAUCUUCCCCAGCAGGAAGGAGAAAGGCCGUAGCCUGGAAGAUGAAUGGGCUUGGGACAGCUUCGUCACGGUCUGCAAAGGGCGCAUUCUCCUCAAGCCCUGAUCAAUCAGGCCCUCCCACUGAAGGCCCUGUGCUAUCACUUUGGAGGGACUUGCAGCUCCUUUGUGUUGCCAACAGGGCACUUCUCAUCUGCUUGGGUGACCGAAAGCAUGAUGUGGCUUCCAGGGGGGCUGGCACGCGAUUCAGAGUAGAUUUGUUUCUUUGUUCGUUGGGGGAGGCUGGAGAUGCAGGAUGAUCGCACUAUUCCCGGGCAAGGGCUCCCGUGCCUUUGUUUGCAGAUUUGCUUGUUCGUUCAGUGUGGAAGAAGCAGUUUCAUGUCCUCUCUCGGGACGAAAGGACAAAGCACAGCACCAGGGGACAAUCCUGUGCCACGUGCCUGGACUCGCCAUCCCUGUGGCCCGAAAUAAGGGGCGGCCCGGCCAGCAUGGAUUCAGAUUUUGGCUCCAUCCUUGGUGUGUUUCUGGCAAGGCACUCACUGCCUCAGUCUCCCCAGACUGCAAGAUAAAGGUGAUUGUACUGACCUCCCAAUGUUGUGACAUGGAUAAAAAACAGUUCAAUUAAACAUCUGACAUGCAGUGAGACCAGUGUAAGGAAAGAAGAAAAGCCACCUUAGAAGCCCUCAGCAUCCGCAGUGGUAUGCCAGUGUAAGGGAGCUUCUCCUAGGGCCUUCCGAGAUGGGUACUGGUUAGCCAUGAGGCCAAAAGUGCAGUGGACAGCCGGUUCUCAGAGGGGUUCUCAGUGAACGGAAAGUGGAUCUUAGAUGCCACCUGCACGCCGGAGAGGACUGGAGCCCAGUGCAUUUCAGGGACUCAUGUGAGACCAAGAGCUACUAUUUCCAAAGCCAUCUCUGGGCCUCCCGAUGUCUCACCCAGGGCUUUCUCCACUGACCAAUAGUCCUAAUUCUAAGCAAAGAACAGACACAGCUAUGUUGUUCUGAACAAAAGCCCUGCUAGAGGGGGACCACCCAGAAACCAGCCAUGAGCUUCUCCUCCACUGGCCCUGCAGCACUGGCUUCCUCUCCUCCCUCCCCUCUGACUCCCCUUCAUCUCCCCUCUCCCUACCCCCUCUCCUGGGCAUAGCAAACAGGCCAGUCUGGCGUCCAGGAGGUGGCCUGUGGUGAUGUCAGCCUCUCCCCAGCACAGCUCCCAUUAUCACAGUCACUUGACCUUCCUCCCAGUGGCCCUGGACCUCAGCACAAGAAUGACUCAGCCAGGGCCUACUUUGGGGCUGCCUUCAAAGAAGGGUCUGGGUUAUCUCUGCUAAAUGUUACUGGCUAUGUCCCCUUGCAGUUGUUUCAGAGCCAGCUUGAACUUCACUCGCACUUUAGGGACAGGAUGUAAACUUUCUAAGUUUGUUUCCUUCAGAGAACUAUGACAAGAAUUUAUUGUUUGCUUCUGUUGAUUUAAAUUUUUUGUUCACAAAUUUCACUAUGAAAAUAUUCUAAACAUAGAAAAGUUGAAAUGCCUAUCACCAAAAUUCUACCAUUAUCAGUUUGCUAUGUCUUGCCUUAGAGCACAUUUAUCCAUUGGCCUGUCCAUUGGUUUAUCCACCUAUUGAUCUCAUUUUUUCAUAGGAAGAAAAGGGGCAAAGGGGAAGGGGAAGUGGGAGGGGUAGGGAAAUGAA